rnacentral:rRNA from 1 species
CCUACGGGGGGCUGCAGUGAGGAAUAUUGGUCAAUGGACGCAAGUCUGAACCAGCCAUGCCGCGUGCAGGAAGACGGCUCUAUGAGUUGUCAACUGCUUUUGUACGAGGCUAAACGCAGAUACGCGUAUCUGUCUGAAUGUAUCGUACGAAUAAGGAUCGGCUAACUCCGUGCCAGCAGCCGCGGUAAUACGGAGGAUUCAAGCGUUAUCCGGAUUUAUUGGGUUUAAAGGGUGCGUAGGUGGUCGGAUAAGUUAGUGGUGAAAUCCCGAGGCUCAACGUCGGAAUUGCCUUUGAUACUGUUAGGCUAGAGAGUAGUUGAGGUAGGCGGAAUGUAUGGUGUAGCGGUGAAAUGCUUAGAGAUCAUACAGAACACCGAUUGCGAAGGCAGCUUACCAAGCUACUUCUGACGUUGAGGCACGAAAGCGUGGGGAGCAAACAGGAUUAGAUACCCGAGUAGUC